rnacentral:sRNA from 1 species
CUGAAAUGCAGGUGUUGAGAGCAGAUCGCGGGC